GACCAGCGAAAUAUAUACAAUGUAGCGACAAGCGCAUAGUUGUCGUCAAGCAGCGAAUUCUAGAAACGUCGAUUCGCCUUUGGGCCGUUAUUUCAUCUACACAAAGAAGGUGGCAUACGUGAUCAUAGGCGCAAAUGGUGGCGUGACCCGAGCGUAGUGGGGGUCGUCUCUCAGAGAAGACAAAGAAAAGAUCGAAGGGCAAUCAGGCCUUUUUGAAGAAUCU